GGAAGGCAUGGCCCCUGAAGGCCGCCUCAAGGCCCUCAUUCCAGCAGAGGAGAGAGACUUCUGGAAGACCCCACUGGCACUGGUUGCCGGCAACCUGACUACUGGGCACAGAGGAGGGGCAAGUGAGGAAUUCGGAUGACAGGAGACCGUCAGCCAAUCCGUCAUCCAAAUAAGGACAUUUUUCCAA
rnacentral:lncRNA from 1 species